GAAACAAGUUAAAUGAUACCAGGUGAAAGCAACCAGACAAACCCAGAAGGUGGACCAAUCUAUAGGACAACUGGACUGGUCUUUUUAAAAAGACACUAACAUAAAAGGCAGAUUGUGCUAGCCUUUCAAGUAUAUGUCAGAAUACCCUAAGAGCCUUUGAGAGCCUGUGUUCCAGGUCAGGACUCAGAGAUGGAGGUUACAGAGACAUGGAAGAACUCAGGAAGAUUAAUAAACUUUGAUAACUUUUUUGGUAUUAUAAAUAAAAACAUUUUACAAUUAAU
rnacentral:lncRNA from 10 species